AGUUUUAUAGUCUAAUAAUGGAUAUUAAAUUGCAAAUUUAAUGGUGAAUUUAUAUUCUAAAACUU
rnacentral:tRNA from 1 species